GACGAACGCUGGCGGCGUGCCUAAUACAUGCAAGUAGAACGCUGAAGGAGGAGCUUGCUUCUCUGGAUGAGUUGCGAACGGGUGAGUAACGCGUAGGUAACCUACCUGGUAGCGGGGGAUAACUAUUGGAAACGAUAGCUAAUACCGCAUAAGAGUAGAUGUUGCAUGACAUUUGCUUAGAAGGUGCAAUUGCAUCACUACCUGAUGGACCUGCGUUGUAUUAGCUAGUUGGUGGGGUAACGGCUCACCAAGGCGACGAUACAUAGCCGACCUGAGAGGGUGAUCGGCCACACUGGGACUGAGACACGGCCCAGACUCCUACGGGAGGCAGCAGUAGGGAAUCUUCGGCAAUGGACGGAAGUCUGACCGAGCAACGCCGCGUGAGUGAAGAAGGUUUUCGGAUCGUAAAGCUCUGUUGUAAGAGAAGAACGAGUGUGAGAGUGGAAAGUUCACACUGUGACGGUAUCUUACCAGAAAGGGACGGCUAACUACGUGCCAGCAGCCGCGGUAAUACGUAGGUCCCGAGCGUUGUCCGGAUUUAUUGGGCGUAAAGCGAGCGCAGGCGGUUAGAUAAGUCUGAAGUUAAAGGCUGUGGCUUAACCAUAGUACGCUUUGGAAACUGUUUAACUUGAGUGCAAGAGGGGAGAGUGGAAUUCCAUGUGUAGCGGUGAAAUGCGUAGAUAUAUGGAGGAACACCGGUGGCGAAAGCGGCUCUCUGGCUUGUAACUGACGCUGAGGCUCGAAAGCGUGGGGGAGCAAACAGG
rnacentral:rRNA from 1 species